rnacentral:sRNA from 1 species
ACAGGUUGAAGGGUUGAGCGGCCGGCGAGACCGACUGCGCUACCCCAAUCCGAGCUGAACGGUGACGUCA